rnacentral:piRNA from 1 species
UGCCUCCAGUUCAUCCUCUGAGCAACUGCCCC